rnacentral:rRNA from 1 species
CCCUUAGAUGUUCUGGGCCGCACGCGCGCUACACUGAUGCAUUCAACGAGUCUAAAACCUGCUCUGAUAGGGGUGGGUAAUCUUUUGAAUGUGCAUCGUGAUUGGGAUAGAUGAUUGCAAUUUUUCAUCUUCAACGAGGAAUGCCUAGUAAACGCAAGUCAUUAGCUUGCAUUGAUUACGUCCCUGCCCUUUGUACACACCGCCCGUCGCUCCUACCGAUUGAAUGAUCCGAUGAAUAUCAUGGAUUGAGGAUGCAAGUAGGUUAGCCUAUCUUCAUCUUCGAGAAGUGAAGUAAAUCUUAUCAUUUAGAGGAAGGAGAAGUCGUAACA